CAAAACGGAGAGUUUGAUCCUGGCUCAGGAUGAACGCUGGCGGUAUGCUUAACACAUGCAAGUCGAACGGUGUCUUCG
rnacentral:rRNA from 1 species